UUAAAGAUCAAAUGAGAUUGAGCACAGUGAAGGAAGAGACACCAACUAUCCAGGAGGCUAUGGAGAGAGAGAUUAGUGAUUCUAUCAAUGUGAUACAGAAAGAGAACGAGGGGAGGAUAGAGGGGGAGAGAAAGAUGGAAAGAAUGACGGAGGAACAGGAACAGAAAAAGAAAGAACAGCAGAGGAGGAAGCUACAGAGGAGCAUAAAAGAGAGUGGGAACUCCACUGGAACAACAGAGGAGAAUAGAUGGUGAGGCCCAAUGGGGAAAGUUGAAUAGAUUGACAGAGAAACAACAGAAUAAUAGAGAGACUAAAGUGUGAAAAGCCAGAGAGACAAUUGAUUGAACUCAGCCUGUAAUGACUGACCGAGAGAGCGAGAGGGCGACAGAGACCAGUUCGAGGGUGGUUGGAUAUCAGAGAACAGCU